rnacentral:rRNA from 1 species
GACGAACGCUGGCGGCGUGCUUAACACAUGCAAGUCGAACGGAAAGGCCCUGCUUUUGUGGGGUGCUCGAGUGGCGAACGGGUGAGUAACACGUGAGUAACCUGCCCUUGACUUUGGGAUAACUUCAGGAAACUGGGGCUAAUACCGGAUAGGAGCUCCUGCUGCAUGGUGGGGGUUGGAAAGUUUCGGCGGUUGGGGAUGGACUCGCGGCUUAUCAGCUUGUUGGUGGGGUAGUGGCUUACCAAGGCUUUGACGGGUAGCCGGCCUGAGAGGGUGACCGGACACAUUGGGACUGAGAUACGGCACAGACUCCUACGGGAGGCAGCAGUGGGGAAUAUUGCACAAUGGGCGGAAGCCUGAUGCAGCAACGCAGCGUGCGGGAUGACGGCCUUCGGGUUGUAUACCGCUUUCGCCUGUGACGAAGCGUGAGUGACGGUAAUGGGUAAAGAAGCACCGGCUAACUACGUG